rnacentral:rRNA from 1 species
UACGGGGGGGGCAAGCGUUGUUCGGAAUUACUGGGCGUAAAGAGCGUGUAGGCGGCCAGACAGGUCCGUUGUGAAAACUCGAGGCUCAACCUCGAGAUGUCGAUGGAAACCGUCUGGCUAGAGUCCGGAAGAGGAGUGUGGAAUUCCUGGUGUAGCGGUGAAAUGCGCAGAUAUCAGGAAGAACACCUAUGGCGAAGGCAGCACUCUGGGACGGUACUGACGCUGAGACGCGAAAGCGUGGGGAGCAAACAGG